rnacentral:piRNA from 1 species
UAGGUGGCCAGGAGAAGCAGCAUCCUGCUGU